CUACGGGGGGCAGCAGUGGGGAAUAUUGCACAAUGGGCGCAAACCUGAUGCAGCCAUGCCGCGUGUAUGAAGAAGGCCUUCGGGUUGUAAAGUACUUUCAGCGGGGAGGAAGGGAGUAAAGUUAAUACCUUUGCUCAUUGACGUUACCCGCAGAAGAAGCACCAGCUAACUCCGUGCCAGCAGCCGCGGUAAUACGGAGGGUGCAAGCGUUAAUCGGAAUUGACUGGGCGUAAAGCGCACGCAGGCGGUUUGUUAAGUCAGAUGUGAAAUCCCCGGGCUCAACCUGGGAACUGCAUCUGAUACUGGCAAGCUUGAGUCUCGUAGAGGGGGGUAGAAUUCCAGGUGUAGCGGUGAAAUGCGUAGAGAUCUGGAGGAAUACCGGUGGCGAAGGCGGCCCCCUGGACGAAGACUGACGCUCAGGUGCGAAAGCGUGGGGAGCAAACAGGAUUAGAUACCCUCGUAGUC
rnacentral:rRNA from 1 species